AGAGUUUGAUCCUGGCUCAGGAUGAACGCUGGCGGUAUGCUUAACACAUGCAAGUCGAACGGACUCUUCGGAGUUAGUGGCGGACGGGUGAGUAACGCGUGAGAAUCUGGCUUCAGGUUCGGGACAACAGUUGGAAACGGCUGCUAAUACCGGAUGUGCCUUAGGGUGAAAGAUUUAUCACCUGAAGAUGAGCUCGCGUCUGAUUAGCUAGUAGGUGUGGUAAGAGCGCACCUAGGCGACGAUCAGUAGCUGGUCUGAGAGGAUGAUCAGCCACACUGGGACUGAGACACGGCCCAGACUCCUACGGGAGGCAGCAGUGGGGAAUUUUCCGCAAUGGGCGAAAGCCUGACGGAGCAAUACCGCGUGAGGGAGGAAGGCUCUUGGGUUGUAAACCUCUUUUCUCAGGGAAGAAUGAUGACGGUACCUGAGGAAUAAGCAUCGGCUAACUCCGUGCCAGCAGCCGCGGUAAUACGGAGGAUGCAAGCGUUAUCCGGAAUGAUUGGGCGUAAAGCGUCCGCAGGUGGCAAUGUAAGUCUGCUGUCAAAGCGUCUGGCUCAACCAGAUAAAGGCAGUGGAAACUACAUAGCUAGAGUAAGGUAGGGGUAGAGGGAAUUCCUGGUGUAGCGGUGAAAUGCGUAGAGAUCAGGAAGAACACCGGUGGCGAAAGCGCUCUGCUGGACCUUAACUGACACUGAGGGACGAAAGCUAGGGGAGCGAAUGGGAUUAGAUACCCCAGUAGUCCUAGCCGUAAACGAUGGAUACUAGGCGUUGCCCGUAUCGACCCGGGCAGUGUCGUAGCUAACGCGUUAAGUAUCCCGCCUGGGGAGUACGCAGGCAACUGUGAAACUCAAAGGAAUUGACGGGGGCCCGCACAAGCGGUGGAGUAUGUGGUUUAAUUCGAUGCAACGCGAAGAACCUUACCAGGGCUUGACAUGUCCGGAAUCCUCUUGAAAGGGAGGAGUGCCUUCGGGAGCCGGAACACAGGUGGUGCAUGGCUGUCGUCAGCUCGUGUCGUGAGAUGUUGGGUUAAGUCCCGCAACGAGCGCAACCCUCGUUCUUAGUUGCCAUCAUUAAGUUGGGAACUCUAAGGAGACUGCCGGUGACAAACCGGAGGAAGGUGGGGAUGACGUCAAGUCAGCAUGCCCCUUACGCCCUGGGCUACACACGUACUACAAUGCUAUGGACAAAGGGCAGCAAGCCAGCGAUGGCAAGCAAAUCUCGUAAACCAUGGCUCAGUUCAGAUCGCAGGCUGCAACUCGCCUGCGUGAAGUCGGAAUCGCUAGUAAUUGCAGGUCAGCAUACUGCAGUGAAUUCGUUCCCGGGCCUUGUACACACCGCCCGUCACACCAUGAAGCUGGUCACGCCCGAAGUCGUUACCCUAACCUUUCGAGGAGGGGGACGCCGAAGGUAGGACUGGUGACUGGGGUGAAGUCGUAACAAGGUAGCCGUACCGGAAGGUGUGGCUGGAUCACCUCCU
rnacentral:rRNA from 1 species